rnacentral:rRNA from 1 species
UACAGAGGUCCCAAGCGUUGUUCGGAUUCAUUGGGCGUAAAGGGUGCGUAGGCGGUCGUGCAAGUCGGAUGUGAAAUCUCAGGGCUCAACCCUGAAACUGCAUUCGAUACUGCGCGGCUAGAGUGCUGGAGGGGAGACUGGAAUUUACGGUGUAGCAGUGAAAUGCGUAGAUAUCGUAAGGAAGACCAGUGGCGAAGGCGAGUCUCUGGACAGCAACUGACGCUGAGGCACGAAGGCCAGGGGAGCAAACGGG